CCCAGUAAACGGCGGCCGUAACUAUAACGGUCCUAAGGUAGCGAAAUUCCUUGUCAGGUAAGUUCUGACCCGCACGAAAGGCGUAACGAUUUGGGCGCUGUCUCGGCAGCAGACUCGGUGAAAUCUUAGUACCUGUGAAAAUGCAGGUUACCCGCAACUAGACGGAAAGACCCCAUGGAGCUUUACUGUAGCCUGAUAUUGAAUUUUGAUCAAAGAUGUACAGGAUAGGUGGGAGGCGAAGAGACGUGUACGCCAGUAUACGAGGAGCCGCUGUUGGGAUACCACUCUUGUUUGAUUGAAGUUCUAACCUGCACCCAUGAACUGGGUGAGGGACCGUGUCAGGUGGGCAGUUUGACUGGGGCGGUCGCCUCCUAAAGAGUAACGGAGGCGCCCAAAGGUACGCUCAGAUUGGAUGGAAAUCAAUCGACGAGUGCAAAUGCAGAAGCGUGCUUGACUGUGAGACAAACAAGUCGAACAGGGACGAAAGUCGGGAUUAGUGAUCCGGCGGUGCCGAAUGGAAGGGCCGUCGCUCAACGGAUAAAAGCUACCCUGGGGAUAACAGGCUGAUCUCGCCCAAGAGUUCACAUCGACGGCGAGGUUUGGCACCUCGAUGUCGGCUCAUCGCAUCCUGGAGCUGAAUUCGGUUCCAAGGGUUGGGCUGUCCGCCCAUUAAAGCGGUACGCGAGCUGGGUUCAGAACGUCGUGAGACAGUUCGGUCCCUAUCUGUUGUGGGCGUUGGAGAUCUGAGGAGAGCUGUCCUUAGUACGAGAGGACCGGGAUGGACCUACCGCUGGUGCACCAGUUGUUCCGCCAGGAGCAUAGCUGGGUAGCUAAGUAGGGAAGGGAUAAGCGCUGAAAGCAUCUAAGCGCGAAGCCUACUCCAAGAUGAGAUCUCCCAUUCGUAUAACGAAGUAAGACCCCUUGAAGACGACGAGGUGGAUAGGUCAGAGAUGGAAGUGUAGCGAUACAUGGAGUUGACUGAUACUAAUAGGUCGAGGACUUAAUCAC
rnacentral:rRNA from 1 species